rnacentral:rRNA from 1 species
ACGGGUGAGUAAUACAUCGGAACGUGCCCUGUAGUGGGGGAUAACUAGUCGAAAGAUUAGCUAAUACCGCAUACGACCUGAGGGUGAGAGUGGGGGACCGCAAGGCCUCAUGCUAUAGGAGCGGCCGAUGUCUGAUUAGCUAGUUGGUGAGGUAAAGGCUCACCAAGGCGACGAUCAGUAGCUGGUCUGAGAGGACGAUCAGCCACACUGGGACUGAGACACGGCCCAGACUCCUACGGGAGGCAGCAGUGGGGAAUUUUGGACAAUGGGGGCAACCCUGAUCCAGCAAUGCCGCGUGUGUGAAGAAGGCCUUCGGGUUGUAAAGCACUUUUGUCCGGAAAGAAAUCGCACUUACUAAUAUUAGGUGUGGAUGACGGUACCGGAAGAAUAAGGACCGGCUAACUACGUGCCAGCAGCCGCGGUAAUACGUAGGGUCCAAGCGUUAAUCGGAAUUACUGGGCGUAAAGCGUGCGCAGGCGGUUGUGCAAGACCGAUGUGAAAUCCCCGGGCUUAACCUGGGAAUUGCAUUGGUGACUGCACGGCUAGAGUGUGUCAGAGGGGGGUAGAAUUCCACGU